GGGGCGGGGCUGGCCGGGGCGGCCGGCGAGUUAGGGUUAGGGCGAGAGCAUGCGGCUUCCCGGCGGCAGAGGGCGCCUGGCGCUGCGGUCCGGUGCGCCGUAGCCGCCCGCGCGGGCGCCGAGAGGAGAGGCGGGGAGCGCGAGCGGCGGCGGCCACUGCCACGUAUUCCCGGCAGAGCGGGCGGCCGCGCGCGAGGAGGAAUAACUCAAGUCACCUUUAUUGGACAUCAGUUUGCUGAACCUACUGCAGCAUCAGCUUUUAAAGUUGGAGAAAAGGAGGUCCUGCGCCUUGACCUGAAGAGUGUGGCCCCUCCUUCAAAGCUCUCUGUGGACGUGGCUUCACAGCCU